UACGAAGGGGGGCUAGCGUUGCUCGGAAUCACUGGGCGUAAAGGGCGCGUAGGCGGGAUGGCAAGUCAGUCGUGAAAUCUCUCGGCUCAACCGAGAAACGUCGGCUGAUACUGCCGUUCUUGAGGGAUGCAGAGGAGACUGGAAUUCCUGGUGUAGCGGUGAAAUGCGCAGAUAUCAGGAGGAACACCGAUGGCGAAGGCAGGUCUCUGGGCAUUAACUGACGC
rnacentral:rRNA from 1 species